rnacentral:rRNA from 1 species
UACGUAGGAGGCGAGCGUUGUCCGGAAUUACUGGGCGUAAAGCGCGCGUAGGCGGUCUUUUGCGUAGGCGGUGAAAGCCCCCGGCUCACCCGGGGGGAGGUCCGUCUAAACGGGGAGACUCGAGGGCGGUAGGGGCUGGCGGAACGCCCGGAGUAGCGGUGAAAUGCGUUGAGAUCGGGCAGAACACCAGUGGCGAAGGCGGCCGGCUGGGCCGUUCCUGACGCUGAGGCGCGAAAGCCAGGGGAGCGAACGGA